UACGUAGGGUCCGAGCGUUGUCCGGAAUUACUGGGCGUAAAGAGCUCGUAGGUGGUUUGUCGCGUUGUCCGUGAAAACUCACAGCUCAACUGUGGGCGUGCGGGCGAUACGGGCAGACUGGAGUACUGCAGGGGAGACUGGAAUUCCUGGUGUAGCGGUGGAAUGCGCAGAUAUCAGGAGGAACACCGGUGGCGAAGGCGGUUCUCUGGGCCUGUUCUGACGCUGAGGAGCGAAAGCGUGGGGAGCGAACAGG
rnacentral:rRNA from 1 species